rnacentral:lncRNA from 1 species
UGAAUUUAUAUUACAUGUCCAGAUGGAGAACCAUGCUAGUAGAAGUAAGUGCUGUUGUGUGCUUUGUUUAUUUGCCGACAAGAACUGUGUUUUCCCUGCAACUGGAAAUGUUUCAAGUCUGUCAUGCCUCCAAAGAAGAUUGAAGUGGUCUAAGUAUCAAGGUCCUUCUAGGUGGAGAUACAUGGAAAUAAAAAUCUUCAAUGGUCUGCGAAAAUAUCCCUAAGAAGCAUCUAUAAUCUUUGGUGAGAGAAUGGUGAGCCUACUUCAACUGUUAUUGGACUUCUCUUAAAAAUUAUGAAUUGCCCUGAUUCAUAUUUAAUUUCCAGCUAACUUUGCUCAAAAAGUCAAAGAGCUGAGGAUUCAAACAAGGUACAAACAAUUUCUUCUAGUUAUAGUUUUCUUCCAAGGUUCUAGCAUGGCUCUAUACAUAGAGGUGCAAGCUUGAAACUUGACUGAUGUUUACUUUUGAGGUGAUAAAAUCUCACCAGGAUGUAGCACUUGGUUUGCAAGUUUGGAACUGAUUAACUGAGUAGUUCUUACAGUUGAACAUUGUGCUCAUUUUGUCGAAUCAACAGCAGGACAGUGCCUAUUUCCUUGUAGCUGGAACCGAGGAGGUGUGUAUAACUGGCUAUUAGCCUUGAUGACUGUACAUGUAUAGUUUUUACACUCGCUCAUAACAAGAUGACUCAUAGUUCAUUAUUAAACUUGCAGGUUUGCUGCAAUAUCUAUUCCAGGAACCAGAAUUUUCCUUAGUUAACUUCCAGCUGCACCUGUAACUUUGUAAAGUUGUACUGAAAGGCCUAUUAUGUGGCAUCACGCUUAAAUUCAUUCCGGGUCUGGAAGAAGAGUAAAUUAUGGAAGUAAAAUACCAUGAGAAAUCUGAGUGCAUGCCCAUCUACUUGCUACCAGGCUUGGUUGACUCUUGACAGAAAGAAGUUGUGGCUGACUUGAGAAGGCAUUCAAGAGUUGCCUGAGUUAUGAUUUGAUAAAAGGAGAUAAUGUAGGGAAAUGAUGUUGGCAUCAGAUAAUGUAAUCAUCCUCCAGUUGAAGUAUUCUACGACUGGACCAACUGAACCACAAGUAUGGAAUCAAAAUAAACAACACAUAUGCAGACAGAGAGUGGUUUCCAUUUCUUUAUUUAGACGUUUUCUAAAACUGAUCAGCAGGUGCAUCCCCUUUGGCCGUGCUGGAUCCUUAUUAGCUUAUGUCAUCACGAUAUACAGGAGAGCGAAUACUAAAUAUAGGCCUUUUGGCCCUUU